rnacentral:rRNA from 1 species
GACGAACGCUGGCGGCGUGCUUAACACAUGCAAGUCGAACGAGUGGCGAACGGGUGAGUAAUACGUGGGUAACCUGCCCUCUUUUUGGGAUAAGACUUGGAAACGGGGUAUAAUACCGAAUAACGGGGGAUGGGCUCGCGGCCUAUCAGCUGGUUGGUGGGGUGGUGGCUUACCAAGGCGGUGACGGGUAGCCGGCCUGAGAGGAUGACCAGCCACACUGGGACUGAGCCAGGGUCCAGACUCCUCCGGGAGGCAGCAGUGGGGAAUCUUGCACAAUGGGCGCAAGCCUGAUGCAGCCAUGCCGCGUGGAUGAAGAAGGCCUUCGGGUUGUAAAGGACUUUCAGCGGGGAGGCGUUACCCGCAGAAGAAGCACCGGCUAACUCCGUGCCAGCAGCCGCGGUAAUAC